GAUGAACGCUAGCGACAGGCUUAACACAUGCAAGUCGAGGGGCAACGGGACGUAGCAAUACGUUGCCGGCGACCGGCGGAUGGGUGAGUAACGCGUAUGCAACCUACCCACGACAGGGGGAUAGCCCGUUGAAAGACGGAUUAAUACCCCAUAAAACAGGGGUUCCGCAUGGGACUAUUUGUUAAAGGGUUCUCCGCGAGGGGGACCUCGGUUGUGGAUGGGCAUGCGUUCCAUUAGGCAGUUGGUGAGGUAACGGCUCACCAAACCGACGAUGGAUAGGGGAACCGAGAGGUUGGUCCCCCACACUGGUACUGAGAUACGGACCAGACUCCUACGGGAGGCAGCAGUGAGGAAUUUUGGUCAAUGGACGGAAGUCUGAACCAGCCAAGUCGCGUGAAGGAAGGCGGCCCUAAGGGUUGUAAACUUCUUUUAUAAGGGAAUAAAGUGCGUUACGUGUAGUGCAUUGCAAGUACCUUACGAAUAAGGAUCGGCUAACUCCGUG
rnacentral:rRNA from 1 species